AGGUUCGAUCAUGGCUCCAGAUUGAACGCUGGCGGGAUGCUACACAUGCAAGUCGAACGGCAGCACGGACUUCGGUCUGGUGGCGAGUGGCGAACGAUUGAUAAUGUAUCGGAACGUGCCUAGUAGCGGGGGGAUAACUACGCGAAGGCGUAGCUAAUGCCGCAUACGCCCUUCGGGGGAAAGCGGGGGACCUUCGGGCCUCGCACUAUUAGAAACGGCCGAUAUCGGAUUGGCUAGUUGGUGGGGUAACGGCUCGCAAGGCGGCGACGAUCCGUAGCUGGUUUUGAAAGGACGACCAACCACUGGGACUGAGACACGGCCCAGACUCCUACGGGAGGCAGCAGUGGGGAAUUUUGGACAAUGGGGAAACCUACAGUCCAGCCAUCCCGCGUGUGCGAUGAAGGCCUUCGGGUUGUAAAGCACUUUUGGCAGGAAAGAAACGGCACGGGAUAAUACCCGUGCAACUGACGGCUACCUGCAGAAUAAGCACCGGCUAACUACGUGCCAGCAGCCGCGGUAAUACGUAGGGUGCAAGCGUUAAUCGGAAUUACUGGGCGUAAAGCGUGCGCAGGCGGUUCGGAAGAAGAUGUGAAAUCCCGGAGCUUAACUUUGGAACUGCAUUUUUAACUACCGAGCUAGAGUGUCAGAGGGAGGUGGAAUUCCGCGUGUAGCAGUGAAAUGCGUAGAUAUGCGGAGGAACACCGAUGGCGAAAACAGCCUCCUGGGAUAACACUGACGCUCAUGCACGGCGUGGGGAGCAAACAGGAUUAGAUACCUGGUAGUCCACGCCCUAAACGAUGUCAACUAGCUGUUGGGGCCUUCGGGCCUUGGUAGCGCAACUAACGCGUGAAGUUGACCACACGGGAAGUACGGUCGCAAGAUUAAAACUCAAAGGAAUUGACGGGGACCGCACAAGCGGUGGAUGAUGUGGAUUAAUUCGAUGCAACGCGAAAAACCUUACCUACCCUUGACAUGUCUGGAAUCCGAAAGGGUUGGAGUGCUCGCAAGAGAACCGGAACACAGGUGCUGCAUGG
rnacentral:misc_RNA from 1 species